GCCGGGGGGAUUAGUGGCGAACGGGUGAGUAACACGUGAGUAACCUGCCCUUGACUCUGGGAUAAGCCUGGGAAACUGGGUCUAAUACCGGAUAUGACCAUUCCGCGCAUGCGGUGGUGGUGGAAAGCUUUUGCGGUUUUGGAUGGACUCGCGGCCUAUCAGCUUGUUGGUGGGGUAAUGGCCUACCAAGGCGACGACGGGUAGCCGGCCUGAGAGGGUGACCGGCCACACUGGGACUGAGACACGGCCCAGACUCCUACGGGAGGCAGCAGUGGGGAAUAUUGCACAAUGGGCGAAAGCCUGAUGCAGCGACGCCGCGUGAGGGAUGACGGCCUUCGGGUUGUAAACCUCUUUCAGUAGGGAAGAAGCCGCAAGGUGACGGUACCUGCAGAAGAAGCGCCGGCUAACUACGUGCCAGCAGCCGCGGUAAUACGUAGGGCGCAAGCGUUAUCCGGAAUUAUUGGGCGUAAAGAGCUCGUAGGCGGUUUGUCGCGUCUGCUGUGAAAGACCGGGGCUCAACUCCGGUUCUGCAGUGGGUACGGGCAGACUAGAGUGAUGUAGGGGAGACUGGAAUUCCUGGUGUAGCGGUGAAAUGCGCAGAUAUCAGGAGGAACACCGAUGGCGAAGGCAGGUCUCUGGGCAUUAACUGACGCUGAGGAGCGAAAGCAUGGGGAGCGAACAGGAUUAGAUACCCUGGUAGUCCAUGCCGUAAACGUUGGGCACUAGGUGUGGGGGACAUUCCACGUUUUCCGCGCCGUAGCUAACGCAUUAAGUGCCCCGCCUGGGGAGUACGGCCGCAAGGCUAAAACUCAAAGGAAUUGACGGGGGCCCGCACAAGCGGCGGAGCAUGCGGAUUAAUUCGAUGCAACGCGAAGAACCUUACCAAGGCUUGACAUGAACCGGUAACGCCUGGAAACAGGUGCCCCGCUUGCGGUCGGUUUACAGGUGGUGCAUGGUUGUCGUCAGCUCGUGUCGUGAGAUGUUGGGUUAAGUCCCGCAACGAGCGCAACCCUCGUUCCAUGUUGCCAGCACGUAGUGGUGGGGACUCAUGGGAGACUGCCGGGGUCAACUCGGAGGAAGGUGGGGACGACGUCAAAUCAUCAUGCCCCUUAUGUCUUGGGCUUCACGCAUGCUACAAUGGCCGGUACAAAGGGUUGCGAUACUGUGAGGUGGAGCUAAUCCCAAAAAGCCGGUCUCAGUUCGGAUUGGGGUCUGCAACUCGACCCCAUGAAGUCGGAGUCGCUAGUAAUCGCAGAUCAGCAACGCUGCGGUGAAUACGUUCCCGGGCCUUGUACACACCGCCCGUCAAGUCACGAAAGUUGGUAACACCCGAAGCCG
rnacentral:rRNA from 1 species